rnacentral:rRNA from 1 species
ACCACUCUAGAGAUAGAGCUUCCCCUUCGGGGGCAAAGUGACAGGUGGUGCAUGGUUGUCGUCAGCUCGUGUCGUGAGAUGUUGGGUUAAGUCCCGCAACGAGCGCAACCCUUAUUGUUAGUUGCCACCAUUCAGUUGGGCACUCUAGCAAGACUGCCGGUGACAAACCGGAGGAAGGUGGGGAUGACGUCAAAUCAUCAUGCCCCUUAUGACCUGGGCUACACACGUGCUACAAUGGGAAGUACAACGAGUUGCGAAGUCGCGAGGCUAAGCUAAUCUCUUAAAGCUUCUCUCAGUUCGGAUUGCAGGCUGCAACUCGCCUGCAUGAAGCCGGAAUCGCUAGUAAUCGCGGAUCAGCACGCCGCGGUGAAUACGUUCCCGGGCCUUGUACACACCGCCCGUCACACCACGAGAGUUUGUAACACCCGAAGUCGGUGAGGUAACCUUUUGGAGCCAGCCGCCUAAGGUGGGAUAGAUGAUUGGGGUGAAGUCGUAACAAGGUAGCCGUAUCGGAAGGUGCGGCUGGAUCACCUCCUUU